rnacentral:rRNA from 1 species
UAGGGAAUCUUCGGCAAUGGACGGAAGUCUGACCGAGCAACGCCGCGUGAGUGAAGAAGGUUUUCGGAUCGUAAAGCUCUGUUGUUAGAGAAGAACGUUGGUAGGAGUGGAAAAUCUACCAAGUGACGGUAACUAACCAGAAAGGGACGGCUAACUACGUGCCAGCAGCCGCGGUAAUACGUAGGUCCCGAGCGUUGUCCGGAUUUAUUGGGCGUAAAGCGAGCGCAGGCGGUUCUUUAAGUCUGAAGUUAAAGGCAGUGGCUUAACCAUUGUACGCUUUGGAAACUGGAGGAAUUGAGUGCAGAAGAGGAGAGUGGAAUUCCAUGUGUAGCGGUGAAAUGCGUAGAUAUAUGGAGGAACACCGGUGGCGAAAGCGGCUCUCUGGUCUGUAACUGACGCUGAGGCUCGAAAGCGUGGGGAGCAAACAGG